rnacentral:rRNA from 1 species
UACGGGAGGGAGCUGUAAGGAAUAUUGGGCAAUGGAGGCAACUCUGACCCAGCCAUCCCGCGUGAAGGAUUAAGGCCCUAUGGGUUGUAAACUUCUUUUGUUUGGGAAGAAAUCUGGACAUUUAUGUGCAGUUGACGGUACCUUAGGAAUAAGCACCGGCUAACUCCGUGCCAGCAGCCGCGGUAAUACGGAGGGUGCGAGCGUUAUCCGGAAUCAGUGGGUUUAAAGGGUGGGUGGGCGGUUUGAUAAGUCAGAGGAGAAAGCUGGCAGCUUAACUGUUAAAUUGCCUUUGAUACUGUCUGACUUGAAUCAAGUUGAGGUAGGAGGAAUGUGGCAUGUAGCGGUGAAGUGCAUAGAUAUGUGAAAAAACACCAAGAGGGUAGGCACCUUGGUGGGCUUGAAUUGACGGUGAGGCAAGAAAGGGGGGGGAAAAAACAGGAUUAGAUACCUUGGUCGUCCACGCCAUAAAGGAAGUUAACUGGAUAUGAUUCUACGGAGUGAGUGUCCAAGCUAAAGC